ACAUUACCAGGCUGGAGGACAGCAGGCUGAGACCGCCCCCCAGCCUGGGAGUUUCAGGGUCUAUGAACUAACAUCUAGGUGCUAGCUAAACUAGCAUUUCAGCGCUCUGUGCCAGAGGAACCUCAACAGAGGGAGACACGGAAUCUAAAACUUGUUUCAGUGUAACCCUGACAUUUUCAAGCCCUCCAGAUGCAGGGCGUUCAUACUAUCCAGUAUUGAGCCUCUAGACAUGACCUUGACUGAAGGCGGCCACAUCUUCAAGCAGAGUCCUGCUAAAAAUGAAACAACUUAUAUGCAUGAAGUGCAUCCUUUGCACCAGGUAUUGUGCUAGGCACUGGGGAGACACACAGGAACUAGGUAUCCAGGCGCCUUCAGGUUGUUCUCAUGUCAGGUAUGUAGGGUAGCUUCAGCAAAGGGCCUCCCUCAGCCCCCAAGGUCACAGGCCCCAAAACAGGCAAAACCUGCCCCUGCAAACUCACAGGACUUCUGCGCUGGUUUAGAUAGGAGGGAAACAGAAUGAAUUCCAGGAAGAUUCAGAGCGGGCAAGAUCUGACCUCUACAGACAAGGACAGUCAGAGCCCUGGGCCUGAGUCUAUGCUGUGUUGGCAUGUGCCUGUGGAGCACCGAGGAUCCCACAGCAGAGACAGGACUGCCGAGUGCCUGGCCUGGUCACUUGGCUUCUCAGGACUUGUUUCCACUUCUGAAAAAUAAGAAGGUUGGUGUGAAUUUUCUCAAACAUCUCUUCCUAUGUUAAAAUUCUGUGAAGUCACACAAAGGAGGGGUUAAGAGUUUCAGGCUUGGGCUGGGUGAGGUGGCUCACGCCUGUAAUCCCAGAACUUUGGAAGGCUGAGGCGGGUAAAUCACUUGAGGUCAGGAAUUUGGGAGCAGCCUGGGCAGCAUGGCAAAAACCCUGUCUCACUGAAAAUACAAAAAUUAGCCAGGUGUGGUGAUGCAUGCCUGUGGUCCCAGCUACCCGGGAGGAUUGUUUGAGCCUAGGAGGCAGAGGCUGCAGUGAGCCUAGAUCAUGCCACUGCACUCUAACCUGGAUGAUAGAGACAGAUCCUGUCUCAAAAAAAAAAAAAAAAGAGUUUCACCUUUGGAGUUGAACAAACCUGCAUUUGGAUCUCGGCUGUCAUUCACCUGGGAAAGUUGCUUUACCUUUUAGAGUCUGGGGUAAUAAUAUAAAGAUUAAGUGAUAAUUAUA
ensembl:lncRNA